GACGAACGCUAGCGGCAUGCCUAAUACAUGCAAGCCGAGCGAACAGAUGAAGUGCUUGCACUUCUGACGUUAGCGGCGAACGGGUGAGUAACACGUAAGGAAUCUACCUAUAAGCGGGGGAUAACAUUCGGAAACGGGUGCUAAUACCGCAUAAUAUCUUCUUCCGCAUGGAAGAAGAUUGAAAGACGGCUCUGCUGUCACUUAUAGAUGACCUUGCGGUGCAUUAGUUAGUUGGUGGGGUAAUGGCCUACCAAGACGAUGAUGCAUAGCCGACCUGAGAGGGUGAUCGGCCACAUUGGGACUGAGACACGGCCCAAACUCCUACGGGAGGCAGCAGUAGGGAAUCUUCCGCAAUGGGCGAAAGCCUGACGGAGCAAUGCCGCGUGAGUGAAGAAGGCCUUCGGGUCGUAAAACUCUGUUAUAAGAGAAGAACAAAUUGUAGAGUAACUGCUACAGUCUUGACGGUAUCUUAUCAGAAAGCCACGGCUAACUACGUGCCAGCCGCCGCGGUAA
rnacentral:rRNA from 1 species